UUGCGUUGCUUUCCUUUCUAAAAAUUCUGUUACUCAAAUCACGGGAUUCGAAUCCCUUAAAACGAUCAGCUGAUCAACUAGCAUAUUAAUCGAUCUCUCCAAUUCAUUCCGAACCUUGUUUUCUCCCUCUCGUCCUACCUUCCGUCCACCUGCUAUAGUACCGACGAAAUCGCCUCCGCCAACCACAAGUUUGAACCUAUCUCGCCGGUUCGUUUCGCCUACGGUCCGUCCAGUUGGAGCCGCAACAGAACUGCCGAGCACCACCACCACGCUGGUCAGUCUUCGUUGUAGGUUCUAUUAGUUGUCUCGUUCAUACCGACGACAACCCGAAAACUCUGUGUCACCACCCCAUAACCAUCGAUUCGUUGUCUCAGAUCUCUGGUGAAUCUGCAUUGCAUCGCACUAGUCACAUAAGGUCACCAUAUUAUUCAAGAGAGACGCUAGUGUCACAGUAAUUGGAAGCUACGGUUAUUGUUAUUUGCAAAUUAAGGUAC